rnacentral:rRNA from 1 species
CCUACGGGUGGCAGCAGUGGGGAAUAUUGCGCAAUGGGCGAAAGCCUGACGCAGCGACGCCGCGUGAGGGAUGAAGGUCUUCGGAUCGUAAACCUCUGUCAGCAGGGAAGAACGGUCACUGUGCUAAACAGCAGUGAAUUGACGGUACCUGCAAAGGAAGCACCGGCUAACUCCGUGCCAGCAGCCGCGGUAAUACGGAGGGUGCAAGCGUUAAUCGGAAUUACUGGGCGUAAAGCGCUCGUAGGCGGUAUGUCAAGUCAAGGGUGAAAUCCCCGGGCUCAACGUGGGAACUGCCUCUGAAACUGGCAAGCUGGAGUGUGUGAGAGGAUGGUGGAAUUCCAGGUGUAGCGGUGAAAUCCGUAGAGAUCUGGAGGAACAUCAGUGGCGAAGGCGACUAUCUGGCACAUAACUGACGCUGAGGAGCGAAAGCGUGGGUAGCAAACAGGAUUAGAUACCCCAGUAGUC